rnacentral:lncRNA from 1 species
GGAAAGCCAGGGGGAUGCCAAACAGGCAGAGGGGCUGAAGGAAGGAGCAGAAGAGAACGAUCACGCUAUGGAAAAGCAUGAAGAGGACCUGGGGCAAGGCUGAAGAUGUGAUUGGGCCAGCUGGUGACCUGUUGCUGGCCUCAUGCUUCCACAUGAAGAUGCCAGGCUGCAAAACGGAGAAGAAGGAAGCCCAUGCAGAGAUGGCUUCUGAGUGAGAGCUUAGGAGCAGCUGCCCGGGUGCCCGUAGGCGGUCAGAUUUCUAGAUGCACUUCCUGUUCUUGGGUUCCGCAAGACACCCUCUGGCUCUUUUGCAUACAUUUUAAGCAACUACUUCUGAAGUUGGGAAAUCAGGAGUAGCCGCUGACUCUAAAGAGAAACUAUAUCAAUUUGGAAUGUAUUUGCAUUAUCAGUGAGUUUACUGGAAGUAUUAAAGCUGGACCAUCACUUGGAGAUGUUGUAAGGAAAUGUGAACAUUUGGCGAACAGACCUUUAAAUAAAGAAGGAAGCCAUGGGAGUGGCUGAGAUCUCCCUGAGAGAAAGUGGAGAGAUGUUCAGAGGUAACUUCGUUUAGAAACUUUUAUUUAAAAAUCACAUUUAGAAACUAGAAGGUGUGGGGGGACCCAGUAAAGGAGACAGAAAGGGAUUUACCAGAGAGUUGCGGGAGCUACGAUUGUGGUGUCAAAGAACCAAAGGGAGGAGCAAAUGCAAGAUCUCAACCAAUAAGGAAGUGUAAGCGACGAAGGGCAGGCCUUGGGGUGGGUCGACUCAGCAGCUCCACCAUUUUACUGAGAGCCCAGGUGCUUUCUACCUCUCUGCUCUGCUGUGCUUGGCGUUGGCUUCACCUGAGGGUUGAAGGUUCUUUCCUUGGAUGAGAGAUAACUGAACCACCCCUGUGGACCCAGGAACAGGGUCUGUGUCCCUUGAAGCACGUGACAGCAGAGGACGGGAGGCUCCACCUGAACAUGACCAGGGGUCUCCUGGGGAGGAAAAAUGGAGAUGGAAGCUGCAGAGGAAACGAACAGCUGCCCCCACACAUGCCGUACAAGGCCUGCAUGGGAUGAUGUACGUAGAGCUGCAUUUAAUGUAUACUAAAAAUCACUGGGCCGUGUUGCUAACUUCUGUUAGCAGAGAAUGCAGAAAGGCUGUGGGAGCCUUUCAUUGCCAGCUCUACGUGACCCUUCCCCUUAUGAUCAACACCAGACCAGGGAUUUAACUACAAGGCCCUGCCUUACCCAGCUCUUUUUGUCCCCACUUUGCAAAGUUCCUAAAAUGUACCAGAUUUCUUUCUUCUUCAUGGUCUUAUAUGCUGAUCCCUCUGCGGAAAACAGUCUCUGUAUUUGUUGCCUUUUCUUACGUAGGUUUCACUUCAUGUCAUUCCUUAAAGAGCACUUCCCUGUCCUCCUAAACUGAAUUAGGUGCCCCCUCCCUGGCUUGUGUCCCUAUUGGGAUCUAGUUCCAGAUUGUAAUUAUGUUUCUAUUAUGUUCAUGUGUAGCUCUGUGGUAUGGGGGCCACAUUUGUUCUGCUCACUAGUGAAUCCUCAGAGCCUGGCACAUGGCAAUGCUCAAGACAUUUGAUGAAUGAAUUAGCUAUUUCAUGCACUUCUUCGUCUAACUCUCAUGCCUAUUGUCUUUUUUAAGCAUGUGAGACAUCUUUGGAGGUUAUUGAAUGUAAAGAUUUCUACAAAACAGUACCCAUUCCAAAAGAUUAAUGAUGUUUAAUAAACCUAAAUAAUAAGGAAUGCUUGGAAAGCUCAUAAAGUAACAGCAAUG